rnacentral:rRNA from 1 species
AUUGAACGCUGGCGGCGUGCCUAACACAUGCAAGUCGAACGAGUGGCGGACGGGUGAGUAAUGUCUGGGAAACUGCCUGAUGGAGGGGGAUAACUACUGGAACAGGUCGCUAAUACCGCAUACCAUCGGAUGUGCCCAGAUGGGAUAAGCUAGUAGGUGGGGGAAAGGCUCACCUAGGCGACGAUCCCUAGCUGGUCUGAGAGGAUGACCAGCCACACUGGAACUGAGACACGGUCCAGACUCCUACGGGAGGCAGCAGUGGGGAAUAUUGCACAAUGGGCGAAAGCCUGAUGCAGCAAUGCCGCGUGUAUGAAGAAGGCCUUCGGGUUGUAAAGUACUUUCAUCGGGGAGGCGUUACCCGCAGAAGAAGCCCCGGCUAACUCCGUGCCAGCCGCCGCGGUAAUUC